CAACGCACUCAGCAUACUUGAAUACUUCGUGUCUGUUACUUGUGUUGAAAUGCAAUUGAACCUUCAAAACCAUUAGAGUUUUGUGCUGGUUUAGUUGUUUUAACCUUUAGGUUUGUGAUUGACGGUUACAGGGUAGUUUCUUUUAUGCUUAAUUGAAUAUUUCGUUUAAACAGUGGAGGGGGAUGCCUGGAACUUAACUGCUAAUGUGUGUCCAUUUUCAAAAGGGAGAAGUAGUAUCUAAUGAGUUAAUCAUUAAGGAGUAUGCACAGGGCCGGCCAUUUCAGGACAUGCAAGAGUUUCUGUGGAGCUGCUCCAGACAGGAAGGAGUGACUUGACAUCAAGCAUUUAAACUUUUUGAUUUAUGUUUCGAUUGGUGACAUUGAAAGGUAUAAAUUAUUUACAAAUAAGUUUGAGUAACCAGUUUCAUCUGUAAACAACCAGAUAUUUCAUCUAGGGACAGUUGUCUCUCAUUCUUUGAUAACUUUAAAAAGAACUCAAAGCAGGGCGUUUGCUGUAGGAAUGAAGGACUGACAGUUAAAGAGACGACGGGUCUCUAUUUCCCGGCUAUCUCCUAUGUUAGAAUCAGCUAAAGCUGCCAGGGACGUGCUGGUGAUCUCCUUUAAGUCAAUAAAUGAAAAGUUUUGUGGGGCUUUUUUAAUGGGGACAUUGAGUGAGACUUAUGAUUUAUAAUAUGCAGCAGGAAGAAGUUUCACUAAGAUUUUGAAGCUGGCAAGUGAUCCAGAUGUUGCCAAACUGCCUCAAUUUAUUUUUAUCUUAUUCUUACUUUAAGAGGUAAGAUUCUUUCCCACCCUAAUUCCUAUCUCCCACCCCUCUGCUUUUCACCACUACACUUUUGCAAGAGUCAUCCUUUGGGGAAAAAAAAUUGAGAGCCACACCCUUCGCUCCACCUGCCGACCCUGGAAAUCAAACGAAGUUCUACAAAGGACGUCCAUCUGGAAGGAGACGUCUCAGUUAUCCGUUUUACUUUAUUCCCCGCCAUUGGGCGGGGCAGGACUGGGCUUCCUUCCAGUCACCACGUCUUUCUCCACCUGCAGGUACUCCAGAGCGAUCCCCCUUCGUUGACUCCGAGGGGAUGCAGCAGCAAUUCAUGUUUUGAAGUGAUUUAAACGGUUCAAAACGUGAGGCGCUGCUAUACCCCCUCGCGGGGAAGUUGGAAGGUGGGGUUCUGCUGGACGUGUGCUCCUGCGAGGCGCCCGCUCCCAAGGCCAGCUCAGGAGCAGGAGGCCCGGUGGCACCCGGCGCCCAGCCCUCCGGGAGGACCACGCUCGCGCCAUCCGUCGCCCGCAGGACACAGGUGAGAGCCCCGCCGGUCGGGGCCGCGAGGGGCGGAGGGCGGGGAGCGAGUGAUCCCGACUGGAGGGCAUUGCCUUCCCCAAGCGAAAGGGCCCUUUCCCCGGCCCCCAGGAGGCAUCGAGAUUGGGGGCGUCCCCACAGCCCCACAGCCCUCGGACGCGUGGUGCCCUUUUCUGACUUAAAACAUUCGUCUUGCACCAGUAUUCACACGAUCGAAGUUUCAGUGUGCCUAGCUUUUCCUCCAAGGACAAAAAUGUGAAUAAAGCAAUAUUUUAGCCAAACAUUUCUGUGUCAAUUAAGAAGAUGGCAAUUCGUUCCAGACUAUAAAUUCUCUUUAACAACUCUCUAAGGAAUUCUUUAAAAUUGUUUUUCAACGUUGCUAAAUGUGCAUCAUAAUGUGUGGGAGACUUUGUAAAGCGAAUCCAUUUAGAGUCAGCUGAUUAACUGCCCCAGUGUUACCACCUUCCAGGAGGCACCUUCCCAUUGUUUGCUCCUUUUUUCCCAGCACACGUUAUUUGUUAGUGAGGAAGCUGCGUGCACAAGGCAUUGUAUUCAGUUUAUUACACAGACGUGGCCCUUAAACUACGAAAAGCUUCGUCUACCUCUAAAUUUACAUUCGACAUUUCUAUAAGUUGUGGGACAAGGUAUACAGGUUGCUUUCAUAAACUAGAAUUGAACAUAAUUUUUUAAAAAAUUUUAAUCACAGGAAUAUUUUUUGAAGGCCUCUAGCAUCUCCAGUUAGCAGUACUGACAUUUUUUUCCAACAAAGGAACACUAUAUCAACACUCUUGGCCCGGAUCUGAACACAGAAGACUCCUGUUUCAAGAAAAUACAAUCAUCUCUCAAAGUCUGCAUUUUUAACUCACUAGGUAUUGAAAACCACCCAAGUGUCCCACAACAUGGGGUAAAACAGAAUCAAUCACUCAGUGUAAUAUUAUACAUCCUUUAAAAAUGUUAUUGGGGAAUGUUUUAUGAUCUGUAAGUCGAAAUAACCCUCUCCGGGCAUUUCUUUCUCCCUGCUGCUCCCCCAUACCCGCGCUUCUUUGUUCCAAUUGGCAUAUAAAGCUGUUUUUCCCUCCAAACAAGUCAGUCACGAUGGGAACGUCAAUUGAUUUGAACAGAUGUGUGUCAAUGUUACUUGGAAAACUAGAUGCCAGUAACCAGGGCCACAAAGAAAGGCAGUGGUUGCAACACUAUAAAAACGUAUGCGUGCAUACAGACAAGGACUAAAGUGGAACCCCAAGCAGGAAAAGAGUUGAAUACACUCCAGUGCUGGGAGACUGAAUGAUUGUAUGCUGCUUUUGAUUUCCAUUAAUACGGGCAACUGUCCAAUUAAAAAGACCUAAUAAGGACUCUGCAGUGCAAAUUAUUUUGCUGAUUGUUUUAAAACACCAUACCUAUCAAAGCAUCGAGGCCGACGGGGCAGCAGGGGACUGGGUUUGUUCCCCCAUCCAGCACUCUAGAGCUCAGGGCAACACUGGGAGAAAAAGUGAUCCUACACAGGUGGGAGUUCACUUCUAGGCAGGUUUCCUGAGAGACGGUGCAAGAUGAAAAUAAAAAUAGGUUCAAGAAGCAUUUUGGGGGAGACCAAUGAGUUUUUUGAUAGGAAUUAUUGAUAAGAAUCAAAGACUUGAGUUGGGG
rnacentral:lncRNA from 1 species